CACUCUCUCUCUCUCUACGCGCUCCGGCCAGACAGCAGCUCGGAGCCACCGCUGACCGCCGCCUUCCCUCUCUCCCCUGUCUCGACUCUCACCACAACAAGCAUACACUCAACAUUCAACAGUCAACAAUCAAGGCUCAAGUUCAACACAAGAAUCAUGUUCGAAUUUUACAAUUAUAAAUCUUGUUCAAAUUCCUUAUACAUGUAAAAUGCUUGUAUCUUCAGUUAUGGGGCUGCUACUCAUGCUUUGUUGGUUUCUAACAUUGGCUGGGUGCUUAAAACAUGUGUAUUGAAAUGAAAUUUAAUCUGAGAAGUUUAAAGGUAGCACCUUUAGUGAGUGAUUUGUUUGUUCUGUAUGUCUCGUGGUUUCUGCAGAAAGAUACAAAUGUUUGAAGGGUUAAGAAAGUGUUAUGUGCAGAAAUUGAAUUGAGAAGAGGGAGACUUUACCGUCUAAAAUCCUUUGCAGCUGCUAAAGAUUUUAGGUAAAUGAGGAUGGCUUUAAAGAAGGUAAAUACUGAACUAAGGAGAGGCUGAACAGUGUGAAAAGAUGGGUGAAUUGUGCAGCUGAAUUGUAGAGGCAUGGUUGAAGCAUGAAUAGUGUAGCUAAUUGUAGAGGCAUGGUUGAAGAGCAUGGCGUUGCAUGGGUGAAGAGCAUGGCGUGUUGUACUUGACUGUGGGGGCAAAAGAGGUUGGUUUGGGCUCUUGGGCUUUGGUAUUUAUAGAAUAUCAUUUCAAUGAAAACUAAGGCCCAAAUUAAUACGUCAAAGCCCAACACAUUCAAUUAAUUAAAGUCUAAUAUAAACUUUAAUUAAAUCAUAUACAAAUAAAUGCUAACAUAUAAAAUAAUAUCAUAUUCAUAUAAUUCGUUUUAUGCAAUGCACAAAAUUCAAAAGACUAAAUUUUAUAAGAAGCUUUUGAAAAAAAUAGAUUUUGUUGGAAUUAAAAAUAAAUCGUUUUUCAUUUCCGGCGUAAAUCAUCCUAAUCUAAAUUAAAAAUAAAUUCUAAACUUAAUAGAAAUGGGCGGGGUGUUACAUGGAAGGAGCUAAAAUUUUACUAAUUUUUUGAAUGUCGUUAGUCAACACUAUAUAUUGCCUAUAUAUUUUUAAGAGGUAUUUUUAUUUUAGCCUCCUCAUAUAUAUAUAUAUAUAUAUAUAUAUAUAUAUAUAUAUAUAUAGUAGUAGUGGUUCUAGAGAGAACUACAUUAUUUGUGAGAACGUGAGAACCAUCAAAAUCUAAUGCAUCCACUGUAAAAAUUAAUGCAUUCGCUGUUAAAAUUAAUGCACUAAUAAUAAAAAUUGCUCCCUUCAGGAUUCGAACCCAGGAUCUGCAUUCAUCCAACAAGAUGAUGCAUCCACCGUAGAUCUUGAUGAUCGAAUGGCUGAAAAUGAUUCUCCGUUCUUCUUUUAUUUAUGGUUCUUUCUUGAACCUCUCCAUAUAUAUAUAUAUAUAUAUAUAUAUAUAUAUAUAUAUAUAUAUAUAUAUAUAUAUAUAUAGUAGAGUUAGUUAUAUAGUAGAAUUAUAUCUUAUUAGAGAGAUAACGAACAAAUCUAUACAUUUUACGAACAGAUCAACAUAACUAAUGAACAGACGUAUUUAGUAAAUAUAGUGAAAAUCUCGCCCCCCUUCAGGAUUUGAUGCCAAGUCAAAAUAUUGUUCAUACGAUACAUUGAUUUGUUCAUCAAAAUUAUAGAUCUGUUCAUUUUUUUAACGCAAUCUCUAUUCUCUAAAUAUUUAACAUUCUCCUUUGAACCUUUAUCUCUCUCUCUCUCUCUCUAUAUAUAUAUAUAUAUAUAUAUAUAUAUAUAUAUAUACAUACACACACACACACACACACACACACGAUGUAAUUAACUACUCCCUCCGUCCACCAAUUCAUGUCAUACUUUCCUUUUUGGUCCGUCCACUAAUUCAUGUCCUACCCAUUUUUAGUAACUAUUUAUAUAUUUUUUAAAUGAUGGGUCCCAAUAAACAAUACACUUUUUCUCCACUAAACUAAUAAACAAUACACUUUGUGAACUAUUUUCUCCACUCAAUUAACAAACAAUACACUUUUUUCUUAAAACUCGUGUUUCCUCCCCUAGGUCAUGAAUUAGUGGACGGAGGAAGUAUAUUUUAAAAAGUAAAAACUCCUAAUAUAAGUUAUUAGCAAAUGUGCCAUGCUAAAUUUGGAAGGACUACUGUAGUUGAAGCUGGCAAUUGAUAGUAUUGUAUACUAAUUGAUUUACAAUUUCUGUGUAAUGAUUAUAUAUGGCCUUAAUUAGUACUAAUUAAUUAAGUUCCCUCUUAAAACAAAAAAUAAAAAAUUAGACCUUACUAGUUAAGUAGAAUAAUUACUAUGAUAAAGUUGGUAGUAAAAGAUAACAUUAUUUAAAGCAGAAUUUUAAAAAAUAUGAGCAUAAUUAUGGGCUCAAGACUGUAGCUCCAGCUCUUCAUUGACGAGAUUAGUCACAAUUAACUAAUUAGUUAUUCGUAAACGUCAAAUGCCAUCACUAUCACAAGUUAAUUUAUAUUAAAUUAAGACGUAUUACUUGAAUAAUACAAUCAUAUUAAUUACUUAAUAAUUUUUGUUUUACAUAUUGUUAGCGUCGUCCAUGUAAUUUAUUUAUGUUUAAGCGUACUACAAAGAUUAUAAUUAUUUAGCGUAAUAUUUUAUGUAUGCAAUUUAUGGUUUAUACGUUCUUAAUUUGUUAAGAAUGAUACUUUUAAAUGCAUGCUCUUAAAGUUCACUUGAUGAAAUACUUAAACAAAGGAAAUAUUUUCUCUACUUUUGAUUGCAACUGAGUCAUCACCUUCUUAUCAUGUACUACCUCUCUAAUCCCAGUUACGGAUAACCAAUUUCUUUUUAUUAUAAGCUUGUUCUAUUUUUUUACUAUUUUUAAAGAACUAUCGUAAGGUUAAUUUUAAUUAUUGACAUUUAUUUCACGGGUGAUAUCACUCAACUUCAUUAUCGUGCUGGAUUAAAUCUACCUAAAAGUAUUCACCAUAAUUUUUAAUUAUGAGCUCCUCAUGUGAAUAUUAUCAAUUCAACACAUCAAAUCAAAAUUAAUGUGUAGAUUUCUUCUAUAACAAAUUAACAUCCACCAUGUACACAACAUCAUUAUCCAAUCAUCAAUCUCACUCAUUGAUAAAUAAAAGAGUUAAUUAGUUGUACAAAAAUAAUGAUUUUAAUCAUAAUCUUUGCAAUUAUUCCAUAUGUUCAUUUUAUAACGCAUCAUACAUGCGUAUGGAUAUUGGUAUAAAUAGGGAUUUACUAACAUAAGAACAUAUUUUAAAACAUAACGUAAGAAUCAUUUUUAGCCUUUAAAUUGAAAAGAAUGAUAGUAAAUUUAUUACUUUAUUGAAUAAAUUCAUGGUUCUAAUUAUAAGUUGAAAAUUCAUAAAAAUUAAAUUAUAUUUUCUUGAAUUUAUUAUUUCACAGGAAAAUCAUCAUGUGUUUGCAAUUCGUAAUAUAUAUUUUAAAAUAAAUUUUGUAGCAUAAACCUAUAUAUCCGAUAUAAACAUCAACGCUAAUUAAUAUUUAAAAAGAAUUUGAUAUAGCGUCAUUAAUAAUACAAAAGAGUGCAAACUAAAUAAUGCACGUGCAUACUAUUACCGAACUAUCUGCUGAAAGAAAAUACUACUUGUGCACCUAUAAUAUUUUAGGAAAGAAUAUAGAUUUUACCCUCAAAAGAAAAGAAAAAAAACAAGGGAAAAAAGAAAUUUGAAAUUAAUGAUUGGAAGUAGGUGGACCGGAGGAUAUCGAUCGCAUUUAACCCCACAAAGUAGCCUUGUGAGUUAAUUUCUUUUCUUGUAGUGAAAAUAGAUCAAACUCAAACAUAAUUACAAACAAAUUGAGUCCGUCAAAUGUGAUUUUCUACUUAUAUUUCAGAAAAAAUAUGAAGUUAUUGAAAGUAUAGUGAAAAUAUCGACGGCAGAUUCCCAUAAACAUUAGAAACAAAAAGAAUUUGGUACUAAUUCAAUAUUUGUGAAAGGAAUAGGUGGCUUCAUCUGGUGAAUACACGUGUGUGGGAGUUUGAUGAGACAAAGAUUAGCUGUUAUUCUUGGUAAUCUUAAUUUAGUUAGUUGAUGAUUGAUGUCCUAAUUAAGCUGGCCACCAGUCGUGCGGAGCCGCCCAAACUAAACCCCAAAGAAUUUUAAGACACUAAUAUCUGAUUUUAGGGCUUUACUUAUUUAAUUAUGGACAAAUGGAAUUAUAGAUAUUAUUCCCAUCAUUUAAUAUGAGUACAGGAAUUUCCUGUUUUGGGCCUUCCUCCAUCCUCGAUGCCGAUCGUGCAGUGGAACGCAAAUUAUUCUACUCCUUGCUAAGAAGUUUCCUAAAUAUACUAAUCAUCUAUAUAUCAUAUAAAAGAGCAAUAUAACGGCUACUUUUUCCCACAAAAAUUUCUCUUUCUUCAUUUUUUUAUUUUAUUUUUUUUAUAAAAAUCGUCAACUUUAAUUAAUAAAAAGAUAUUCAACAUGGAUGUUAAAUUAAAAAUAACGAAAAAAUCUUUAAUUUAAUAUAAAAAUUAUAAAAAAUAAAUUAUAAAUGAAUAAGUUAUUAUCAAUUAAAGUUACAAUUUUUUUUCUCUCUCAUCUUUUAUCUCUCAUUUCUCUUUUAUAAUUUCUUUUAAUUAUUAAUGAAAAUCAAUUAAUUGGUAAUUGAAAAUUUAUAUACUUUCGAAUUUAUGUUUUUUUAUUGAAAUUAUGUCGUGGAUAAUUUCAAUUUUUUAUGUAGAUUUAUAUUUAAAUUAUAUAUAUAUUUAAUACACAUAUUUAUUUAUUUAAAAUAUCAUUCAGUUUCCAUACUGAUCGUGCAUCGCACGAGUGGGCGUGUGCUAGUUUUUUAUUAUUUUCGUGAUUCCGAACUAAUUAAAAUUCUUGGCAGAGUUAGAGGGUGUUUGGUUGUAUAAGCUCCAUCAAAGUAUUUGGCAAAAUAAGCUCCUAAACAGCUUAUAAGCUCCCCCCAAAAAUAAGUUACUCUACUCUAAUUUAUUUUUUUAUAAUCUCAUAUGCAACAAUCUUUUACAAAUAUUUUUCAACUAUAAUUUAUUAUUUUAAUCAUAUAUCAUUCAAAUUCAUUUUUCUUCGAUUUUCUCUCUCUAAAAAAAUAUUUUCUCUCUCUAGCUUAUAAGCUCAAUUAUCCAAGCACUUUGACAACUUAUAAGCUCUUAAAAAUUACAUUUUAUAAGUUCUUGAAACAUCUUAUAAGUUCCAAGAGCUUAUAAGCUCUUUAAAAUAAGCUUAGCCAAAUUAAACACCCUCUUAGUAAGGUAUACGCUAGGUAAAGUUCGGAAUAUACACAUUGAAAAAUUUAUGGUACAUCUUUAUCAUUGCGUAAAAGUAUGAUUUCUACGAUUCAAUCGAAGUUUUUACUUGAUAUAAUUAAUGGUUAAUUGUUUAUUAGACGAAUUAUAUCCAAAGUUUGCUGACUAAUAACUUGAUUAUCAGAAGUCUAAUGGACAAUUCGAAGGGUACCAUUGAAAAGUUCUGGACGAUAUCUUUGUAAUGAUACUUAUAGUGUUGGAUUUUUGUCACUAGAAGUGGUUAAAAAUUUUUCAUGAAAGUUGAUGUAAAGAAACUUUAUAUUUUUUUCCUUUUUUUUUCCGAUCACUUCCUGUGACCAAAAUCAACAAUAUGAGUAUUAUUAGAGAGCUAUCAUCAAAAGAUUCUCAAAGGUACCUUCAAAUUAUUCAUUGGACUCCAAAUACAAAAUAUUUAAAAGUUUAUGUAUUUUUUGAUAAAAAAUUAAUAUUUAUGUAUUGUUUGUAUAUUUAUAGGCAAUAACCCUAAUUAAUAUGACCUUUUCAAAUUAAACGUAAUGUAUCACAAUUCCUAGUAACAAUUUCCUAAAAAAAAGAUACGUAUUUUAAAAGAUAGGGAAAAUUUAUACUUUUUUUUUUGAUCGGGCAAAGUCAUGUUAGAUGUUAGUAAUUAGUUCCUCAUCCACUCCAAGAACCACCUUAUCUCUCCAUUCACCAAAAUCCACCUUAUAUCUCCAAUCUCCAAUUCGCUCCCAAGAGGGAUCGAACCCGGGUCACUUCACUUAAGUGAGGACCCGAUGGCCAGUGGGCUAUACUAUAAUAUAUAAAAGAUGAGUUUUUUCUCUCCAUUUUUUCUCUCUUUUUCUCUCUCUUCUUCCACCAAUUUUUUCACUAUUUUUUCUUUUUAUUUUUUAUAUUUUAAUUCUUUUAUAAAUAUUGUCAAAUUUGAUUCAUGAAAAAAUAUUUCUAUAUACAUCGUAAAUUUAAUAUAGUAUAAAAAAUAUCAAAAAUCAAUAAUUUAUGAAUAUUUUAUUUUCUCUUUUUUCAUUAAAACUUUACAACUUCUUAUUUAUAUUUGUAUAUGAAAAUAUUUAUUUAUUUAUUUAUUUAUUAUGAUGCGUAAUACUCUAUAAUAAUAAUGCGUAAUGCUAAUUUUCAUUAUCAAAUAAUUUUAAAACUUAUUUAAUAGAAAUAAUUAUCAUUACGCUUUAUACAAAGUUGAAAAUUUAUAUUUUAAUUUUGUUUAAUAUUUAUAUUUAUUUAUUUACUUAAAUAUAUAAUUUAAUUUCAAUGUUCGUCGUGCAUCGCACGAAUGGUCAUACUAGUAAAAAGAAAAGGGUUAAUUCUAGGUUAAAAAAGUAAUUUUUUUUUGAAGAGAAUGGUUAGCAAAUUAAUUGUACAUUAAUGGGAAUUGAGAGUGUCUCUAUCCGACGCGUAGAGUUGAGGCGGGAAGAACGGCGGAAUCAAAGGUGACUAAGUUCAUCUAACCUUAAGAAGUUUUGAUUGAUUAAUUAAGAAACUUGUGUUUUUAAUGAAUUAUUAAUUAUAGUUUUAAAAACUGAGAUAUCACAGCUAGGAACUUCCCCUUUGUCAUAAAUAUUAGUAUUGUGGUUUUUCCUUACAACAUAAUCGCAACUUCACUGUUACACCUGUAUGUGUAAUGUCCACCAACAUCUUUUAACCACAUAGAUAAUACUAUUUUGAUGGAUAUGAAUCUUCCCUAAAUCUCAUAAUUAAACAUGUAGCCAACCCAAAUGUCACAAAAUAAUUCCUACUCCAGACUAGAAUUUGAGUUUAUUAUAACACGUAAUCAUGCAUAUAUAGUAAUACCAACAUCGAUAUUGAUGAGAUUUAAUCUUUAAUUUUUAUUGUUCUGAAAAGUUAUUGUUAAAUACAGGAACUAUUAAUCUUAGUUUUAACUAAUACUACAAAAAAUUAUGGACGAAAUAAACUCUAUUGUUAAUCAUUGAUGGAUUCCUAACUUAAUCUGAUGAGUCACAAUGGAAUUACCGACGGAAUAUGAAGCUAAUAUUCCGGGACAAAUUUAUUAACAGGUUACUUUUUCUAACUAUAAUUACAAUCAAAUACUAAAAGUAUAGUUUUUUUUUUCCAAAAAAAUAAAAUAAAAUAAUCUCAAAAUGAGCAAGCAUAAAGCAAGGUUUGCUUCGCUGCCUAAAAUAUUAAAAAAUACAAUAACAAUUUUUGAUGAGCCGCACAUCAUCUGUCCGUGAGCGAAAAUUGGCGAAAAUUGAAUUUUGACACUUUUUUCUUAAUUUUGUUAUAAUUGAUCUUGUUUUGUUGUAAUUAUGUAGCGAAAAUUGAAUUUUGACACUUUUUUCUUAAUUUUGUUAUAAUUGAUCUUGUUUUGUUGUAAUUAUGUGUAUUUCAUGGAUAUUUAUAUUAAUAGUUUGAAUGUAGACUUCGUUUCCAAUAAAAAGUCAAAAGUUGAGGUACUAAUUCAUAGUAUAUUCCAAAACAAAAAUACGGUAAAUCAUUUUGUAUCUUUCUCUGGGUACAUAUAAUUAAUCACCGCCAUAUACAUGUUGUAAACAGGUGGAUUGGAAUACUAGAUCGAAUACAUACUCUUUUUAUCUUCAUUGUGGAUUGGUGAAAAAAUAAUAUUUUAAUGAUGCAACAAAUGAUACCUAAUAUCAUGUGAUUUUAUCAUGAUCGGGAUCAAAACGUAGUACGGAAUAUUUGAUUUUAUGAAUCUUCUAUUGAAUAAUUUCACGUGUAACUUUUCUUUUUUCAGAAGUAUUUAUUUGGUAAAAAUAUUUAGUUGAUGCAUUACUGUACAACACGAGUUCAUUAUAGUUUUAAUUGUGGACAAUGACCGAUCCAAAAUUUGUUAAUAGGAGAGGUUGGACUUAUUGAAAUAUGAAGCUUGAAGGUACUUGAAGCAUCGUCCACGAGCCACAUUUUUCUGAGCAGUACUUACAAUUAUUUUUUUAGCCCAAGUGGAAUACUAAUGAACUUAGGAUUACGACUCAAUCACAAAAAUAACACAUCUACAUGUUUUUCAAAAAAAAAAUGUCCGAUCUUCUAUGAAAGUAAACUAAUUUUUAUUAUUAAUAGUUCACAAUGUUAUUUCAAUUAGAGUAUUUACUCGACCUUAGUAUUAAAAAUUAAUUAAAAGAUAAAAUAAGACAAAAAUAACAGAAAUUUAACAAAUUAAUAUAAUAAAGCGUUGUAAAUUACUAAACAAAACGCAUAAAUGCUACAAAAUUCUUCAAAUGAAAAGUGUUUAUAUUGAAAAAUAAGAACUGACAACUUUAAUUAUUAAAUAUGGGAGGACUUCAACCUCCCGAUCCGCCCCUGCUUGUGGGAUCGAGCUAUCAAUUUGUGCAAACUAAUAUUAUGUACAACAAUUGUUUUUCACAAUUUAUUGAGUAACCGACUUUGUCUAAUAUCAAUGUUAAAAUACAUUUACUUUCACAUAUUUUAAAUUUUACACAUGAAUUUAAAAAUUUAUCUUUAAAUACAUGAAUUUUUUUAUGUUUUAUUUUUAUUUUUAUUUUGCACAUGAUGAUGAACAUUUUUCGGUGAAUAAUUAAGUAAUUCUCUCUCUGUCCCACUAUAAGUGGCUCAAAACUUUUUGACACAAGAAUUAAGGAGAAUGUGUAAAUUUGUUAAAAGUGAUAGGGUGAUGCAGGUAGAAGCGUGAAAUAUAUUUGAUACUGAUAAAUAUACGAACUCCGUUGAUAACCACUGUAUACCAGAAUACGUACAAUAAGGGUUAAUCCGUUAAUUCACUUAUGAAUACCUGAAGAACACCGCAAGAAAUGAACAAUCCCACCCUCUACAUUUUAACUCUCAAUUCGACUCCCCUAAAACAUAAAUAAAACUCCUAUUUAUAAUAAAACCCUAAACAUCUAAAAGGAAACAAACUAACUUGACCAACAAAACAAAUCAAUAAUUAAUUAAAGAUAUAAUAUAUUAUACGAUUCUAUCUUCAUCAUAGGGUCCACAUUUUUUUAAUGGUUAUUUUUUUUAUGUAUGGAAACAUGCCACUUAUAGUUGAACGAUCCAAAAUGAAAUAUAUGUCACUUUUAGUGAGACAGAGAGUAUUCAAUUAUUUUGGAAAAUUUUCAUUUAUUAAUUAGAUAAUUUCAACUUCAACCUCAACAUUCAUUUGUAAAAGAUGUUUAUUGUGUGCAAAAUCAAAAAGAAAUAAAAAUUCGUGUACUUAACGGUAGGUUUUUAAGUUCAUGUGUGAAAAUUCAUGUAUUUUAACGCUAUUACCCCUAAUAUAUAAUACUCCCAUCAUACAUAAAAAGUACCCCCCUAACAAAAAGAGCUUUAAUAAAACUAACAUAUCAAAUAUGGCAAAUAUGGCAUACAAAGGAUAUUAUAUAGUAUGUUUUCUGGAUUUCACGUAAUAAGUUUUUGCUUCCAUCAUUCCACGUGGGAUUAAGUGGCUAGAAUUUUUUUCGUGGUUAAGAAAAUAAUUAUAUUGAUUAAAUCAAAAUUUAAUUAUAUUUUAUGUAUUUAUAUGCAAUUAAUCAUAAUUAAUUCGAUAAAUAUAUAGUUAAUGAAUAGUAAUGUUAUGUAGGGUUGUCAUGGGUUAGGUUAUAGGCAAAUGUGAAGACAAAGAGCGAGGUUCGCGGGAAUAAUGUCGGCUUUGUGAUUGUGUUGCUACACACAAAAAUGGCAUACUCAUCGCCACGAUCAUCACCCAAAAAAGCCGACUUAAAACUUUGUUGUUUAGUUUUCCUUCAACAUCAUUAUACAAUUUUCCACGUUCUUCCAAUUAAUCCCCCAAUUAUAUUUUUCGUGUUGCAUGUUUUUAAUCUUAACCAACCACAUUAUCAUGUAUUUAGGGUAGAAGUACUUAAAUAUGGCAGAAGAUGCAUGGAUCCACCAUCAAUUAAGGGAUAUGAUUCUAAUCCAUCUUGAUUUGAUCAAACUUGUAAAGUUGAUUGUGUUUGAGUUUAAGUUCAUAUCGGAAUAAAAACUAAUUUGAUGCUAUGUGCAAAGCGCAUUAAAUUAUAAAUUUAAAUAAUAUAAGAGAUGAGAUCAUGUAGUAUUCGUUCCCCCCAUAUAUAGUAUAUAGGUCCAAAAUCUGGACCACACAAAGGGGUCACGUGGCGCGCCACAUGGCAGGAGCCUCCUAAUGACUUCCAAAGCCUUCCAAGGCCAAGGGUAAAAUGGUCAUUUCGAUUUUAUUUUUUAUUUUUUUAUUUUUUUUAAAUACUGAAAAUUCAUUUUUUUUCUCGCGGCCUUCGUCAAAAUUAUGCAUAUGAUUGUACACCAAUAUGCAUAAACAUAAACCCAAAUAUGCAUGACGCUGGAUAGAAAUAUGCAUGGAAAAGUAUCAGUAUGCAAACCCUGUGGUGUCUCACUGUCGAAAAAUGCUAUGCACAUUUUUGUGUAAUGUUAUGCAUAUUUAUGUUUUUCUUUAUGCAUAUUUGUGUUGAACUAUAUGCAUAGUACUAUGCGACACUGUCAUGUAGCUAGCUCUCACCGCUGGUCACUUGAUUCUCAUGCAUAUUUCUAUCCAGCGUCAAGCAUAUUUGUGUUUAUCUUUAUGCAUAUUGGUGUUCAAUUAUAUGCAUAAUUUUGACGACGGCUCCGGAAAAAAAAAUGAAUUUUCGGUAAAAAUAAAAUAAAAAAAAUAUUCCUAAAUGACCAUUUUACCCCUUCGUGUUUUUGGCUUUUGAAGGAUUGUAUCAAAUGUAACAUUAACAAGAAGAUACAUAUGGGAUUCCAGAAAAACAGAAUAAACAGGAUCAUAUAUAUCCUUAAUGAUAUCACACUACUUAAUACAAAAUUCAUAAACUCUAAUGUGAUUAGGUCAUAGUUAGUCGCAAUCAAAUGAUUAAUUAGGUGAGACAGUUAACAUAAACUCAUCGGUUUGAGAGAGAGAGAGAGAAGCAUGUACGUCCCCUAAUGAUCGGUACUGGUGGACUCAUUACAGAGAAUUAGGAUACAUUAAUUUGGUAAGACCACAAAUAAUGCAAUAAAAAAUGAAUUAGUCAAUCACUUGUACUACUGGUGUUUUCCCCCUUCGUCUCCUAUAUAAAUAUCAAGCCCAGUAAUCCACAUUUCCAAGCUCUCAAAAUCACAUUCCAAAAAAAACAAAAUCUUGGUCUUGUUGGUGAGAAAUUAAAAGAUGGAAAUUGCAGGAUUUAUUGAUGAAGAAUGGGAAUCAUUGAGCCAAAUCUUCUCAAGCGUUGAAAAUGUGGAUUUGUUGCAGCAUUAUGGCGAACCUUCAUUUCUCUCUCAGGAAAGCAGCAACGAAGCCCUUUUCUUCAACAUUGAUGAAGAUCAUCAUCAGCCGCCGCCUUUGGACACCAACUCAUUUGAUGAGACCAUGAUCAUCAACAUGCUGCCCGAUCACGAUGUAAUAAUGGAAGAGUUUCUACGUUCAAAUCGGCCUUUGGAUUCUUGCCAGAAUAAGAGGAAGUCUGAGGAGCAUCAACAUGAUAAAUCUCCCAAGAAAAAACCAAGAAAUGUGAGUCUAGUUUCUUCUAAUAUAUGUAUAUAAUAGAUUGAAUUGAGACUAAAUAUAUAUAUAUGGUGGUACAGCAGCAGCAGAAAAAUACAAAAAAGGGGAAGAAACAAGUCCAAGAUAAGAAUAUAACUGAAGAAGAAAUAAAUAGUGGAGGAAAUAGACAGAGCUGCAGCAGCUACAGCUCUGAAGAUGAUGACUCAAAUGCUUUGAUUAAUGAAAAAAUCAACAACUCCAAAGCCAGAGCUAGUAGGGGAUCUGCAACUGAUCCACAAAGCCUCUAUGCAAGAGUAAGUUGGGAUAUCAUGGGGAUAUAAACAUUAAACUCUCUCUCUCUCUCUCUCAUGGGAGAUCAUAUUUUUCUAAUACUUUUUUUUAAUGUUUUUCAGAGAAGAAGAGAGAGAAUCAACGAGAGAUUGAAGAUCUUGCAGAAUCUUGUUCCCAAUGGAACAAAGGUAAAAACAUUAUCACAUUCUCAAUUUUUUUUUUACCUUUUUACCAUAAAUUUUGUGUGAUGAUUAAAGAGAAUACAUUCAACAGGUUGACAUUAGCACAAUGCUGGAGGAAGCUGUGCAAUAUGUGAAGUUUUUGCAGCUUCAAAUUAAGGUAUAUUUUUCUUCAAUUUUCAUACUAAAUAAUUCAAUUUCUUAAAAUGUCACGCCUAAAAUGUUUUAUUUAUUCUAAUUUUCAGUUGCUGAGCUCUGAUAAUAUGUGGAUGUAUGCCCCACUUGCUUACAACGGAAUGGACCUCGGCAUUUAUGAUAAUAUUUGUCCAAAUCUGAGGCAAUAGAAUUUUGAGUUAUUGCUCACUUUUUAAACCAUAUCAAAAUUCGAUUAAGCGGAGUUAUUGUCAUUUUCAUGUUUUUCCCUGUAUAAAAAAUAUUACACGAAACAAAAUAUAUAAUUUUUUGGGAUAUCAAUUUAGAGGAAGGUCCAUCACCAAGUAAAGGGGAUGUAGCCUCGAGAACUGUCUCGUUUAAUACUAUGUAAUUUGAUUGGCAUCUUAAUAUAUUUAUAUGUUGAGUUGAGCAUAAAGUGGAUUGUAUGUAUUCAGGUUACAUUGAAUCAGACUAAUUGUUCAAGAUGAUAUAUAUGUUUGAUAGGCUAGAUUGUAUUUCACAGUACAAAAAAUUUACAAUUAAAAUACGACGAUUUUAUUAAAAUUAAAAUUCUGUGAUAACAAAGGCAAAUUCAAGUGCAUCCGUCUAUUCUCUCUUGUUUCAGUUUGGAAAAUUGUUUGUGUGAUCCGUCUGUUUGUCUUAAGUUGUGAUUUUGACAUCUGAGUUGUAUAUUCGAAACUUUGUAGCUCGUUUUUGGGUUGCACCCCUCGUGCAUUUAUUCUAAUUUGAUUUCACUUACAAAAAAAGGCAAACUCAAAUGCAUCCGCCUAAUUAAAUUCUAAUUGUGAUUAAUAAAUUGUAAUCGGAUAUCAAUAAAUCCUAAUUAAAUAUUAAUGAUCAUAAUAGGAUAUUAAUAAAUCAGAGGUGGGAAUUAAUAAAUCCUAAACUGAUCAUAAUGAAUUAAUACUUACAAAAUCAUUGUCUAUCCGCAGGGUGCAUGAUAAUAAUUAUAGGCAGAAAUAUUCAUAACCUGAUAAACUUAGGAAAAACAGCAUAACAAAUCAUAAAAUAGAUAGUAGUAAGAGUUUAUCAAAUUUGAGAUAUGAAAUUUAAUUUUAGUAAAAUCUAAUUGAUAUAGAUUUUAUUCAUAUCUUCAAUGCAUGUUCGAGGGCCCAGCCUUUUUUCUUUUGUUUUUUGGAAUAAGGGCCCAGUCUUACAAUUGCCUUUUCCAAGCCUUUCACUUAUACACAAGAUAGGCCAAUCUUUGGGCUAACACUUUGAAAAGGCCCAAAUUAACAUCUAAUAAUACCUCGAAGAAAAUUCAAUUCCUUGAAAAAAAACAUAUAUGAAUAAUCAUAUAUCUAGAUGUAACGUUCUUACCUUUCUAAUAUAUUUUAUAUAGAAAAAGACCAUAAGACAUUAUUUAUUGGCACUUGUAGUAUGAAAAUAUUAUUACAAUGUAAAAAUUAUUUUUAGAGAAUGUGGACUCUAGUGAGGACAUACUUACUGUGCAAACAGAUAUGACAUUGUCACAUUCUUUUAAUAUAAAUAGUUGUCACUUUCUAAUUAAAGAGUAAAAGAAUAAAUAUUUUUUUUCCCAAAAUAAUUAUAAAAAAAUUAAUGAUAAAUAACUUUUAUAUGUCCACACCAUGCAGAUGUACUCAUUAUCACAAAUUUCCUUUUUGUAAGUCAAACUCAAGUCGAGCUCGAGUAGCUCAAUUGUUAUACUCUAUUUUUCUUUUUUCUUUUUUAGUUUUGGAGUUUGAUUCAACUCGAACAUUAAAACUAUUCUAUAAAAGCAAGUGAAGUUCUACAAAAUCAGUUCUCCACGAGUUCAAAAGCCUCACUUCAGAAUGAGGUAUCUUCGAAUAUAAGAAAAAUCAAUAGUAUAAUAUCUAUUCCACGCAUGUCUUUACUUUUUUCAUUUUUUUGUUAUACUUUAUAGUAACUUUGUCACAAUUCCAAGACUCGCAGAGAAAAGUACACCCAUUUGGACUUGGAUAAAAAUUCAACAUGUGUAUUCAACAGUCUGCUUGUUAUAAUAAGAGUUGUUAUAUAUUAAAAAUAAUUAUAAUGUAAUAAAGUCAAAUAAUCAAUUAUCAACUUAAAAUAAAAACUAAAUACUUAAAAUAAUUAUGAUCAUAAUUUAUAAUAAUUGUAAAAUAAAUCUAGAAAUAAAAAAAAUGAAUUCAUGGAAAAAAUGAUUAAAAAAAAAAUUGUAAAAUUCAAUACAAAGAAUAUGCAUCCAUCUAUAUAUCUUUUUAAUUAUUUACUAUACUAUUUUGGUGUUCGAAGAGUGUAGAGAAGGAAAUAAAUUAAUUAAUUAAAUAAUCUAAAAUUAGACAAAGAAUCAUGUGAAGCUUUGCCUAUGAUGCAUAGCUAGCAAAUAAAUUAGGUAAACCAUAAAAGAGUUACUCCUCUAUACUCCAUUGACCAAAAUGAAGACAUGUCACAAGUUGAUACAUUAUGACUGAUCUAGAAAUCAGCUUUCUUAUCCCUAAUUUUAGUAAAUGAUAAAAUUCCCCAUCUAAUUAUUGUACUUUCAUUUUUACAAGUAUAAAUUGGGAUAAAUUUAGGCCGAAAAGUCCAGGUCUUGUGCAAUUUCCAAACGUGCAUAUUCAUGCACAAUUACAGUAAAGCACGACUUAUAUCAGUCAAUUUGAUUUUCCCAACUGAUCUUUUAUGACAAGGGCCUAAUUAAAGUUUAUUUACGAUAAUUUUAGUAAUGACUAAAUAAAUUCAAAUUAAAAUCCUAAUUACUGUACACGAGUUUUUGCGUAAAUUCGUGCUAUUUUAUUAUCAAUUCAAACGCAUUUGUUUAUAAAUUCAUUACUAUUUUAUUAUGAAUCACACGAAUUCAAAUUCAUACGACAAAUGUAUUGUAUUAUUUUUAAGAGUAGUGGCCGAUGAUGCUAAACAAGAUAUCGGUUAAUCACAAAAAUUUGGGUACAAUCGGGUGUACCGUACAAUCAGAUUGAUAUGCACCCAAACUCUAGCCCGCAUUCUGACCCAAACCCGCAUUUUGAUCCAAAUUAUGUAAAUAACACUAUUCGAUUAUACAAAUGACACUGCCUAUAAUUGACAUUAUUUGGUUAUAUAAAUGACACUGUAACAUUUUAAAAUGUUAUAGUGUCAUUUUCAAUCCUGUAGUGUCAUUUAAAAUAUUAUAGUAUCAAUUAGAAGAAGUGUGAUAUAUGUUUUUGAAUAGUGUUAAUUAUCCACAGUACCAUUUACAAUGUUAUAGUGUCAUUUAUUCUCAGUGUUAUUUAUAUAACAGAAUAGUGUCAGUUUUAGGCAAUGUUAUUUGUAUAACCGAAUAGUGUCAUUUACACAAUUUGAGUUAAGAUGCGGGUCAAGGUUUGGGUGUGGUCAACCCGAUUAUAUAGUACACCCGAUUGUACCCAAGACCACCUCUCGGUUAAUUAGGUAAUUCGUUUGUUCCACUACGCAGCAUGAAACAAAAGAAAAUUUUGAUAAAAGUAUAAACAGACGUCAUCGAGAGGCAUCAAGUAGGGUUUAUUGAAAUUAUUCAUUUUUUAUUUAGAAGUGAAACUUUUUUUUUUGAAGGUUAUUUAGAAGUUAAACUUACUAUAUAGUGCACAAUUUAACUUUUGUGUUAUUGAUUCAAAGAGAUGCAAUGUAUUUUUGUGUUUAAAAUAAUUAAACACAAAAUUUUGGCGGUCUCUGACACAAUUUAACUUUUUGCAUAGGUAUCAACUCAAAAAUGAAGUCAAUUGAUAGAGACCAAGCUAAAUUUUGGCGGUCUCUGACACAAGAUCUGCAAAUGAUCCGAAGUUGUAGAAACAAGUACAAUAUUGUUGCACGCGAUUGAUGUACGAUAUUGCAUAUAUAGCGUCAAAAGCGAGCGACAACACAUAAAUCUCAACGGAAAGUUUUCAGCCCAUAUAGGAUACGAUUUGAAUGGGCUAAUCCAACAACGCUAUUUCUUAAAUAUGGUAAUCGAGAGAAGCUAGGUUGAGAAAGAACAACAUGAUAGAGAAUGUAGAGAGAAUUGAUAAUGUCUCUGAUAUAUUUCUUUAGAUUACAAUGCACCCUUUUAUAGUGUAAGGGUGAAUCAAAUGUCAAACUACAAUCUCUUAAAAUCAAAUACAAUCUCUUAAAAUCAAAAGCUAAAGAUUUUAUCGUUGAAUUAUUAUUCAUGAUCUUUGAAUAAUAAUCUUUGACUUAUGCAGAUGGUUAUUUUCAACACUCCCCCUCAAGUUGAGUAAUGGCAUUUCCGAUACUUAACUUGUCCAGAACUUCUCUGAAGACUUUUGUGUUUACAGCCUUAGUCAAUUUUUCCUCCAACUGUUCAUCCGAUCGUAUGAAAGGAAGUUCAAUGAUCCCACUAUCGAGCUUCUCUUUGAUGAAAUGCCGAUCGAUCUCCACGUGUUUGGUUCUGUCGUGUUGUACGGGAUUUUCAGAUAUACUAAUCGCAGCUUUAUUGUCACAGAAGAGCCGACUUCCCCUUCUUGGAGGAAAGCCAAUCUCUGUGAGCAAUCUCCGAAGCCACAGGAUUUCAGUUAUCCCACUUUUUACUCCUCUGAAUUCUGCCUCUGCACUUGAUAGGGCCACUACUUUCUGUUUUUUGCUUCUCCAUGUGACCAAGUUUCCUCCAACGAAGGAAAAUACCAGCGCCUUGUUGGGAAACUCAUCUAUCUCUCCCAUACACGGCCCGACAUCACAUAUGCAGUUGGAAUAGUAAGUCAGUUUAUGCACAAACCCUUAGUCAAAAAGCAACAAACAACAAUUGUCAAAAGUUGCAGUCAAAAAGUUGCAGCUGCAAAUUCAAAUUUGGCAGCCACCUACUACCACCAUUCUGCCUAUAAAUAGAGCAUCGCAUAGCAGCCUGUAAAUUACCCCAGAACCAACACCACCAAGCAAAGUGUUAUUUGCUAGAGAGAGAGAAAAAUCUUGUGAGAGAAAACUUCAGUGUGAAAGUUAUACACAAGUGAUAAAAGUGAGUUGAGAGAUAGCCUCUGCAUAGGCAGAUACAAAAUACAGUGUGGUAUUUUUUGUUGUACUCCUCCUUUUGAGAUUCUCUAAUAUAUUGGUGUGGGUCCGUGGACGUAGGCAAUUUGGCCGAACCACGUUAAAAAUAUCGGUGUCAUUUUUCUUCUCGUUUCAUAUUGGUCGAUAUCCAAAAUAUUGCGUCGCACUAGAUCCCGGGCGGAAUUAUUGGCGUCUAUAAUUCCCAACAACUGGUAUCAGAGCCACGGUGGUGGCAGAUAUUUUCUAAUGUUUUUUCGCUGUUACUAUUCAUGUGAAUAGUGAAUUUCGUGAAUAGUGAAAUUUGUCGGCGGUUCCGGUUUGUCGACAAAAGGUGUUCUAAACACGGUGGUUAGCUGAAAAAUCAGAAACGAUCCAAGGAGUCCAGAUCGAGUGGGAGCAAUGUCGACAGAUGAUAAAAUUUCCAAAAUUGAUAAAUUCAACGGUGUGAAUUUUGGAUUUUUUGGAAAAUGCAAAUGGAGGAUUACUUGUACCAGAAGGACCUGCAUAAGCCCUUGAAGGAAAAUCCAGAAGUCAAGGACAUGGACGGAGCAAGUCAAGGAAUGGCAGCAGAGCUCCAGGAUCCACAAGAAUUCCAACAAAUCAAAGUCUGUUGAAUGUUGGAACUGUGGUCAGGUCGGGCACUACAGAACGCAGUGUAAAGUACCUUCAAAGGGAAACGAGAAAAAGACCGAAGCCAAUGUUGUGGCUGAAGAAGAAGGCGAUGCCUUGAUAUGUUCCAUGGAAAAAAGGGCCGAGUAUUGGGUCAUAGACUCUGGAGCAUCUUUCCAUGCCACCUUGAAUCGAAAUUCCUUCAUAAAUUACAUGUCGGGAAAUUUCGGAGAAGUAUGUCUCGGAGAUGAUCAUCCAUGCAGCGUGGUGGGCAUAGGAGAAGUACAGAUCAAACUCAAUGAAUCUGUAUGGAGAUUGAAGGACGUGAGAUAUAUUCCAAAGUUGAGGAAUAACUUGAUCUCCGUCAAGCAAUUGUCAAGAGAAGGAUGUGAUACACACUUCUCAGGUGAUUAUUGGAAAAUCACUAAGGGGCGCAAUGAUUCUUGCACGUGGCAAGGAUACUGGCAGCCUAUACACAGCGAUGAAUGCGUGUGUGACGAUUGCAAUUGCUGAUAGCAAAAAGAAUGCAAAUUUGUGGCACCAAAGACUUGGGCACAUGAGCCAGAAAGGGCUCAAGUAUAUGCAUUCGAAAGGGAAACUACCAGAAGAGGGUGAGUUUCAACACAAGUGGUAGAACUCUGAAGCAAGUAAAGCUUGAGUUAGUCCACACAGAUGUUUGGGGUCCAGCAAGAGUUUCAUCCAUUGGCAGAAAGUCUUACCUUUGUGACUUUCACCACUCGAGGAAGGUGUGGGUUUACUUCUUGAGACACAAGUCAGAGGUGUUUGAGGCGUUCAAGAAGUGGAAGGCCAUGGUGGAGAAUGAAAUGGCUUACGGAUAAAGAGAUCCGAUAAUGGCGGAGAAUACGAAGAUAUGGCGUUCAAGAAACUUUGUUACCAGAAUGGCAUCAAGUUGGAAAUGCCAGGGACCCACAACAAAAUAGAGUCGUAGAACGCAUGAACCGGACGUUGACAGAAAGAGCUAGGAGCAUGAGGAUACAUGCAGGACUGCCAACACAAUUUUGGGCAGAAGCUGUCAACACAACGGCAUAUCUCGUUAACCAUGGGACAUCUGUACCAUUGGAGUACAGAAUACCGGAGGAAGUUUUGAGUGGCAAAGAAAUUAAACUUUCUCACUUAAAAGUAUUUGGCUGUGUCGUGUAUGUACACAUUAGUGAUAUUGCCAGGAGUAAGCUCGACUCCAAAUCACUAAAAUGUAUUUUCAUUGGAUAAUGGUGGAAUGAGUUCGGGUACCUUUUUGGAUGACAAAAACAGGAAGGUCAUCCGAAGCAGGGACGUAAUAUUCAAUGAAAAUGUGUGUAAAGGACAAGGAAUGCAGUGCAGUCACGACACAACAACGGAGGAUCCAACAUAUGUUGAUCCAGAUGAUACUGCAGAGUGCAGUACAUCGAAGCAAACAGAUGAAAGUUUGCAGACGGAGGAGCCCAACUCUGAGGCUGAUCCACCACAGUCUCCAGUUCCAGCUCUAACUCCUAUUCCUAGGAGUCAUCUCGACCUCGGUUCCUUGUAUCGAAAGUCUUCCUGAUAGUGUGGUCAGGAGCGAGUCCGUUGAGUGGUAACGGCGGUGCAAGAUAUACGGAGGUGUACCCCCAGUGAACUCACGAUUGAAUCCGGUGGUUCCUUGUAUCGAAAGUCUUCCUGAUAGUGUGGUCAGGCAGCGAGUCCCGUUGAGUGGUAACGGCGGUGCAAGAUGUAGGAUUGUCGUUCGAGGGAGGACAUGAUGUGGUCCUUGGUUUGAGGGGAGGAUUUAGGAGAAGCAAAGCGAAUUCUCGGGAUGAGAAUUUACAGAGACAAGCAAAAAGGUGUUUUGCAGUUGUCUCAGGCCAAAUACGUUGAUCGAAUCUUGCAAAGAUUCAACAUGAGCAGUGCUAAGCCGGUUAGCUCAGCGUUAGCUAACCAUUUCCGCCUAUGCAAAGAGCACUCUCAAAAGACAAAGGAGGAAAGAGACUUCAUGGCUAAAAUUCCUUACGCCUCAGCCGUUGGAAGUCUGAUGUAUGCCAUGGUCUGUACUAGACCAGAUAUCGCUCAUGCAGUGGGAGUUGUGAGCAGAAUUAUGGCAAAUCCUGGAAAGCAGCAUUGGGAAGCAGUAAGGUGGAUAUUGAGAUAUCUACGUGGAUCUACUGAUAGAUGCUUAUGCUUUCGACGAGGUAAUGUAGCACUACAAGGUUUUGUAGAUGCAGAUUUUGCCGGUGCGGUAAAUCGCAGGAGAAGCACUACCGGUUAUGUCUUUACAGUUAAGACAGAAAGCUGCUGCUUGAUCGGUGUGAAGACAGAUUGAAAUCAGUCUUCAAGUGGGAGAUUGUUAGUCAAAAAGAGCAACACAAUCAACAAGUGGUGCAAGCAAAUCAAAAAGUUAAGACUUCAACUUCCCAAUAUCACGCUUUGCCACUACACACAAUUGCGCCUAUAAAUAUGCAGGCCUUCGCAGCAGCAUGAAAUCACCCCAGACCAACCACCAAGCAGAAGUGAGUUUUGCUAGAGAGAGAGAAAAAUCUUGUGAGAAAAACUUCAGUGUGAAGUUAUACACAGUGAUAAAAGUGAGUUGAGAGAUAGCUCUGCUAGGCAGAUACAAAAUACAGUGUGGUAUUUUUUGUUGUACUCCUCCUUUUGAGAUUCUCUAAUAUAUUGGUGUGGGUCCGUGGACGUAGGCAAUUUGGCCGAACCACGUUAAAAAUAUCGGUGUCAUUUUUCUUCUCGUUUCAUAUUGGUCGAUAUCCAAAAUAUUGCGUCGCACUAGAUCCCGGGCGGAAUUAUUGGCGUCGAUAGUGGGAUCAUUGAACUUCCUUUCAUACGAUCGGAUGAACAGUUGCAGGUUAACCACCAAAAAGAACCCUACAAAUUUACUACACACCAAACCAAAGCAGAAAAAAAAAAAUUCUGCAAUCUAGAGAGAGAGAGGAGCAGGUGAAGGGUUGGGAGAGAAGGUGAAUAGUAAAGUUACUGUUCAAGGUGACGUGACGGUUACUGUUCAAGGUGACGUGACAGUUACUGUUCAAGUUACUGUGACGUGGCAGUUACUGUUCAGCACUGUAUAUUUUUUCCACCCCUACAAAUUUGCUCAACAUCAAAUCAAACCAUGUCAGAACAAGAAACUUCAGACACAGAAAAAACUAGCCACACCCCACCAAAUUUCCCGAUGGAAUUUGCUGCACAAUUUGCAGAAUUCCUCAAACAAAUCCUCAAAUCCUCUGAAUCGCCGACCGUAGGAAUCGGGUCCGGACUCGCCGCGGUUAACCACAGCCGACCACCACCGCUCUCCAAUCGACCACAGCAAGGAAAUCAAACCUGGAACAACAGGAAAGGGGAAAUCGACAAGAGCAAACUCGUUUGCACACACUGUGGAGGUAAAAAACAUACCAAGGAGGGAUGUUUCUUACUCAUCGGAUUUCCCGAAUGGUGGGACGAAAUGAAGAAAUCAGGAGCUGCGUCCAAAAAUCGAAAUCAACCGUGGAGCCCGAAUGGACAAGCGACGGUGGCGGUCAGCGGCACAAGACCGACGUCAAUCGUGUCUGCUGCAACGACUGGCGGGGCGUGGUCAGGCGGUGAUACACGAGCCGCCAACGCCGGAACUCCGGCAGGCAACAUCAGACCACCACCGCCACAGACGCGCAUUAACGAGGAGAGAGGAGGUGCCCUGGCGGCUAGGGUUCACGAAGGGGAAGGUAAUGAGGGGUUAUACCUUUUAAACCCCUCACUCAUUCACAGCUCUUAUUUUGUUCAGACCUUAGCAGUAUCCUCCUCUAAUUCUGGAACACCAUAUAAAGACUACCAUUGGAUUUUUGAUUGUGGAGCCACAGAUACUAUGUCCUUUGAUGCCUCGGAUUUUAUGGAAAUUUUUCCUACCCAGAAAAAUAUGUUAAAACUGCUAGUGGAAAUUUAGCAUAUGUAGAAGGAGCUGGAACUAUUAAAUUAUCCUCUGAAUUAUGUCUUCCAAACUGCUUAUAUAUCCCGUCUUUAUCCCACAAAUUGGUGUCUGUUAGCCAAGUAACGAGAGAAUUACACUGUAACUUACUAAUGCAGCCUGGCUUCUGCAUUUUACAGGAUACGAGGACGGGGAAGAUAGUUGGGCGUGGCACUGAAUAUCGAGGACUCUACUAUGUGGAUAGGAUGGCUCAACAGGGUGCUGCGAUGCUAACUCAAGGACUGGCAGAGGAACAGACUUGGCUUUGGCAUAGGCGGUUAGGACACCCAUCCAUAGGAUAUUUAAGGUUAAUUUAUCCAAACCUUAUUACUUCACACCCUUUGAACUGUGAGACAUGUUUUCUGGCUAAGAGCCAUCGUCACAGUUUUAAACUUAAUAAUACUCGUGUGAAGUCAGUUUUCUCUUUACUUCGCUCUGAUACCAUCUUAAAUAUGAUAAUCGAGAGAAGCUAGGUUGAGAAAGAACAACAUGAUAGAGAAUGUAGAGAGAAUUGGUAAUGUCUCUGAUAUAUUUCUUUAGAUUACAAUGCACCCUUUUAUAGUGUAAGGGUGAAUCAAAUGUCAAACUACAAUCUCUUAAAAUCAAAUACAAUCUCUUAAAAUCAAAAGCUAAAGAUUUUAUCGUUGAAUUAUUAUUCAUGAUCUUUGAAUAAUAAUCUUUGACUUAUGCAGAUGGUUAUUUUCAACACUAUUCAUCCACUCAUUCUAUAAAUACGAGACCAUCCUCAACGUAAAUGGUUAUCAUAAUUGUUGUGCACAAAAACUCUCAAACUUACAAAAGCUCAAAUGCUCAAUAUUCAAAGGCAUCAAGUAACCAACGAAAAAUACAGUGGCCAAGCAUAUCUCUUCGAACUAUCACUUAUUCAAGAAAAAUAUGAAAAAUACACGGCUAUUAGAAAGUGCACGAAUGCAUUCCCCUUGCCUUUUCAGAGUAUAUAUUUCCCAACAUGUCAAAAUCGUGAAAAACAAGUUUUUUUACGAAACGUUAACUCAAAAAUAGAUCCAUUGCACUUUCAAAGCCAAAGGUUAGAUACAUUGUAUUUCUAUUAGCUAAACAGCCUAAUGUUUAAAGACUGUGACAAUUAUGACGACAUUUUGCAAUUUGAUCACAUUCACAUGUUGGAUACUUUAUCAAAUCCAUUAUUAAUGUCGUAUAAUUUUUUUUAAUAUAAUAUUAACUGGAUGAUGAUUCCAUCGCCACGUUAGAUUUUGACUUCAUUACUUUUACAGAGUUAUUCAGAAAUAGUAGUAAUUGUUUAUAAAACAUUGAUUAUUUAUUUAUUUAUUGGUGAUAUAAUGAUAAAUUUAGAACUGUAAAAUUAAAGAACACAUACUUUUCGGCAGCAUACAUUUACCAAAUUUGAUUGAAGUAAGAGCGCGUAGGAGUUUUGACUUGGACCAACUCAACCUACGACUUUACACUCAGUCAUAAGUUGCCCAAAUUGUCCACCGCCUUCCCACUUUCUCUCACACACUAUUUCUUCCAUCGUCACUCCACUCCCUCACACUAAUAAUCCACAAUUUCAUAAGUAUAUAUUUUGAGUCGAAUUUUAUGUAUUAUUAUCUAAAUAUUGAUAAAAUUAUCACUAUACAAUCGGAUUCACGUUAUAUUUAGAUAGAUAAAUAUUCAACAUAUAUUUAAAUAAAUAAAAUUAUGAAUAUACAAUCUUUAUAUGAGAAUAUACACUCAGAUUUCAACAUAUGAUUUUGACGUAAAAAAUACUAUAAAUUAGUAUAUUUGUUAUUUACAUAUAGAUUUGAAAUUUGAAGUGAUAAGAGAAGAAUCCGAGUAAAAGUCAGUAGUCAACGAAGAGGCGGAAUCAAAACGUGCUCAUUUAUCUUUAUUUACUACUAUAAGCUUCUUACUUUCCCACCACUUGUCACGCAGCUUCCACCCAACCCCCACACGCACCCUUAUAUAAAACUUACGCCCACUCUCAUUCUUUCAUCAUCACUCAACAAUUUCUCAUACUACAACUUCACAUCUCUACCAAAAACAAAAACACUCUCUCUUUCCUUAUACCUUGAAAGAAAAACAAUGGCCCUUGAAGCUCUCAACUCUCCGACCACCCCCACGCCGCCGUCCUUCAAAUUCAACACCAACUACCUUGAGCCGUGGUCCAAGGGCAAGCGAUCCAAGCGCUCCCGCAGCCAUGAUCAGCCGCCCACGGAGGAAGAGUAUCUUGCUCUCUGUCUCAUCAUGCUCGCUCGAGGUGGCGCCGCCACCUCCACCUCCGCGUCGCCACCGCAGCCGCAGCCGCAAUCCCGCCUUCCGACGGAAUCUUCUAAGCUGGUUUACAAGUGCUCGGUUUGUAGCAAAGCGUUUGGAUCCUACCAAGCCUUGGGCGGCCACAAGGCCAGCCACCGCAAGCUCAACUCCGGCACCGGCGGAGACGAGCACUCCACCACCUCCGCCUCCGUGGUGACCUCGACGACGACCUCCGGCAGCGGGAGAGUCCACGAGUGCUCCAUCUGCCACAAGUGCUUCCCCACCGGCCAAGCCUUGGGAGGACACAAGCGCUGCCACUACGAAGGCGGAGCUCCCAGCGCCGUCGGCGGCGCCGCUGCCACCUCUUCGGAGGGCGUGGGGUCCACUGUUAGCCACCGGGACUUCGACCUGAACCUGCCGGCGUUCCCUGAGU
rnacentral:lncRNA from 1 species